rnacentral:rRNA from 1 species
CCCUUAGAUGUUCUGGGCCGCACGCGCGCUACACUGUUCGACGCAGCGAGUCUUAACCUUGACCGAAAGGUUUGGGUAAUCUUCAGCAAAGUCGAACGUGAUGGGGAUCGAUCAUUGCAAUUAUUGAUCGUGAACGAGGAAUUCCUAGUAAGUGCAAGUCAUCAGCUUGCGCUGAUUACGUCCCUGCCCUUUGUACACACCGCCCGUCGCUACUACCGAUUGAAUGGUUUAGUGAGAUCUCUGGAUUGACACUGGCUAGGGGGCGACCCUUGGCCAGACUGUUGAGAAACUGCUCAAACUUGAUCAUUUAGAGGAAGUAAAAGUCGUAACA